CGCCGUUUUCUUUCCUCGGAGAGGAUGCCGGAGGGGAAAAGGCGGCGGCGGCGGCGACUGCGCCUUUGCGCGCUCCUGGCAAGCUCUUGCCUUUCUUCCUGGAAAAGCCUCCCUUCGCCAAAGAGCCAAAGGCAGCUUGCGCAUCAGGGCUCCAGAACGUGGGUUUGGAGGCCCAGCGUGUCAAGAUCCCAAAGGACCUAAUAAGACUCAGACGGGAUGAAGGCAAAGAACUGAGGCAUUU
rnacentral:lncRNA from 1 species